rnacentral:rRNA from 1 species
GAUGAACGCUAGCGAUAGGCCUAACACAUGCAAGUCGAGGGGCAGCAUAGAGUAGCAAUACUUUGAUGGCGACCGGCGCACGGGUGAGUAACACGUAUGCAACCUACCUACAUCAGGGGAAUAACCCGGAGAAAUUCGGACUAAUACCGCAUAAUACAGGGAUGCCGCAUGGCAAUAUUUGUUAAAGAUUUAUCGGAUGUAGAUGGGCAUGCGUUCCAUUAGCUGGUUGGUAAGGUAACGGCUUACCAAGGCAACGAUGGAUAGGGGAACUGAGAGGUUUGUCCCCCACACUGGAACUGAGACACGGACCAGACUCCUACGGGAGGCAGCAGUGAGGAAUAUUGGUCAAUGGACGAGAGUCUGAACCAGCCAAAUCGCGUGAAGGAAGACUGCCCUACGGGUUGUAAACUUCUUUUGUACAGGAAUAAAAGACAUUACGUGUAAUGUAUUGCAUGUACUGUACGAAUAAGCAUCGGCUAACUCCGUG